CGCGGAUUAAUACCCGACGGUCCCUUCGGGGCAAAGAGCAAUCGCCCGGGGACGGGCUCGCGUUCCAUCAGCUAGUCGGCGGGGUAACGGCCCGCCGAGGCGACGACGGGUAGGUGGUCUGAGAGGAUGGUCACCCACACUGGGACUGAGACACUGCCCAGACUCCUACGGGAGGCUGCAGUCGAGAAUCAUCCGCAAUGGGCGAAAGCCUGACGGUGCAAUGCCGCGUGGGGGAUGAAGGCCCUCGGGUCGUAAACCCCUGUCAGAGGGGACGAAAAACAUGACGGUACCCUCAGAGGAAGCCACGGCUAACUACGUGCCAGCAGCCGCGGUAACACGUAGGUGGCGAGCGUUAUUCGGAUUUACUGGGCGUAAAGGGUCCGCAGGGGGUUUGCCAAGUCCGGUGUGAAAGUCCGGGGCUCAACCCCGGAACUGCGCCGGAUACUGGUGAACUUGAGUGCGCGAGGGGCAGGCGGAAUUCCUGGUGUAGCGGUGGAAUGCGUGGAUAUCAGGAAGAACACCGACGGCGAAAGCGGCCUGCUGGCGCGCGACUGACCCUGAUGGACGAAAGCGUGGGUAGCGAACAGGAUUAGAUACCCUGGUAGUCCACGCCGUAGACGGUGCAGACCCGAUGCGGGGGGGUUUCCCUCCGUGUCCAAGCCAACGCGUUAAGUCUUGCCGACUGGGGACUACGGUCGCAAGGCUAAAACUCAAAGGAAUUGACGGGGGCCCGCACAAGCGGUGGAGCAUGUGGCUCAAUUCGAGCCUACGCGAAGAACCUUACCCGGGCUUGACAUAUAUCCGCCCGUCCGUGCAAGCGGACCUUCCAUUCGGGGACGGAAAAACAGGCGCUGCAUGGCCGUCGUCAGCUCGUCCCGUGAGGUGCUCGGAUAAGUCCGGCAACGAGCGCAACCCGUAUCGUCAGUUGCCAUCAGCUCAUGCUGGGCACUCCGGCGAGACCGCCCGCCCCAAGCGGGAGGAAGGCGCGGACGACGUCAAGUCCGUAUGGCCCUUACGCCCGGGGCAGCACACGUGCUACAAUGGACGGCACAGCGGGAAGCGAAGCCGCGAGGCGGAGCGAAUCCCGAAAACCGUCCACAGUUCGGAUCGGAGUCUGCAAUUCG
rnacentral:rRNA from 1 species